AUUGAACGCUGGCGGCAGGCCUAACACAUGCAAGUCGAGCGGAUGAAGGGAGCUUGCUCCUGGAUUCAGCGGCGGACGGGUGAGUAAUGCCUAGGAAUCUGCCUGGUAGUGGGGGAUAACGUCCGGAAACGGGCGCUAAUACCGCAUACGUCCUGAGGGAGAAAGUGGGGGAUCUUCGGACCUCACGCUAUCAGAUGAGCCUAGGUCGGAUUAGCUAGUUGGUGGGGUAAAGGCCUACCAAGGCGACGAUCCGUAACUGGUCUGAGAGGAUGAUCAGUCACACUGGACCUGGGCCCCGGUCCAGCCUCCUACGGGAGGCAGCGGUGGGGAUUUUUGGCCAAUGGCGAAAGCCUGAUCCAGCCAUGCCGCGUGUGUGAAGAAGGUCUUCGGAUUGUAAAGCACUUUAAGUUGGGAGGAAGGGCAGUAAGUUAAUACCUUGCUGUUUUGACGUUACCAACAGAAUAAGCACCGGCUAACUUCGUG
rnacentral:rRNA from 1 species